rnacentral:lncRNA from 1 species
UUGCUAACAAGAUACCCACUGUUGAUGCCAGUGCCGGUGUUCCAUGGAACAUUCUGAGAAAGGCUGCUGUGAGAGGGAAGCAUGCCCCAGGGGUACUGGGGAGGAUGUGCAGGGCCUGAGUCUGUUGGGAUUCAAGGGAGUCUUGCAGAGGCGUAGCAGCUGAGCCGAGGCUUGAGGGAUGUAGAGGAGGUGGUCAGGCCGACAAGACUAUGUUUUAGGGUCAUCCCACAACUCUGUGUGCGUCUUGGGUGUGAGCUUCCAAGUAACUUUUCCUGAACCCCUCACCCCAUCCAGCCCAGGCCCUGCUGGAACAGCCUCCCAUUGGGAACUAGAACUGAUGACAUUAUAUACGACCACCAUCCGAGCUUCUUGAGACAACCAAUCCCACAGGAAGUCUUAGAAAGCUUUUUUUCCCUCUAAAUGAUCUUUUUUAGUGUCUGUCACCCAGAGUUGUAGAGAUUUUAUAUCAUCUAUGAAAUCCUAUUAAGAUUUUAUUUCCUUAUUUUCCUUUUAUGAUGACUGGGAUUUCCUUCCUGAGAGAAGGCUUCAGGAAGUGGCCGUGCCUUGGCAGGAGCCAGGCCCUGGGGAGGGUGUGUUGCUGAUGCAGCCACAGCCUCCGUGGCAGAGUUGCUGACAGGCAUUCAGAGCUGGCAGCAUCCUUCAAGGUCCUGUGGCCCAUUUUCCCCCUGAAGGUAUCCUCUCUAGAGCUUUGAGCAUCCCAUGACCCAAGAGAGGCAGUGAUGGAGCUUUGGAGUCAGGUGAGAUGGUCUAAGAGUCAGAGGGUCUGGGCUGAGACCUAGAACUUCUUGGAGGGCUGGCCUUUUGGGAUGCUACCUAUUUGGGUGACUUCAGACAGUUGUUUACAUGCUCUAAACCUUAUCUGUACAUGCAUGCACACAUGUUAUGGUGAAGAUAAGAUGUGAUAAGUGCUUUGUAGGCAGGGACCAUAGAAGGACUCCUAUUCUCUCCUUGAACAGAUCCAGUGACGGGCAACCUGCUACUUUGAAAAGUGGAGUGUUGAGAUCCGGUUGGAUCCAGAUGCCAUCAUUCCACAGAUGGACCAUCAAGGCCUUGUAGAGUGCAUGUCUCCCCGCUAUAUUUCUCCACAAUCUGCAUAAAGGAAGUGUAAGUUCCUCUGCCCCGCUUUUCUGUCCACCAACAUUGGAUCCUGGGUGGGUCGAAGGGAACAAACUUCUGUGGGCAUUAUGUUGGGGAUUCACGUUUACCAGCUGCCGGGAAGUUGGAUUUGUGGUUUCAGGGUACAGGAUGUUUCUGUGCGAACCAUGGUGAAAGUUGCUUUUGUGAAAUUAUGAAAGUAAUUUGUUGUUGUUUGUACGACAUGGGAGGCUGAAAUGUUUUUAUGAAAUUUUGGUGAUUUAAACAACAACAACUUUUUUUUUUCUCUUAAGCUCUGCUAAAAGGCAGAGUAAUUGAUGUUGAAUUUGGUGACCUGCCCUGAAAAAUGCAGUCAUUGGGACAGCCUGGAUCAGUCGUUCAGAAUGGAAACCAAAUGUUUUCUUCCAUAUAUGUCUAUAACGUAAGACUUAUCCCCCAUCUGGCAAAACCUCUUUCUGUUGAAAUGUUCAGAGUGGAAUUGCAUUAAUAAGGAGACAUCAAGCGAAAUUUACUACAUGCACGUUCAAUGGUCUCUGUAAACCGAGUUGCACGUAGGGCUUGUAUCAAUAAACAUCUCUACCUGCGGGUUUUCA